GGACCCGCACAAGUAGUGGAGCAUGUGGUUUAAUUCGAAGAUACGCGCAGAACCUUACCAACACUUGACAUGUUCGUCGCGACUCUAAGAGAUUAGAGUUUUCGGUUCGGCCGGACGAAACACAGGUGCUGCAUGGCUGUCGUCAGCUCGUGUCGUGAGAUGUUGGGUUAAGUCCCGCAACGAGCGCAACCCUCACUUUUAGUUGCCAUCAUUUAGUUGGGCACUCUGAAAGAACUGCCAGUGAUAAGCUGGAGGAAGGUGGGGAUGACGUCAAGUCCUCAUGGCCCUUACGUGUUGGGCUACACACGUGCUACAAUGGUAUCUACAACAGGAUGCGAAACGGCGACGUUAAGCAAAUCCCUAAAAGAUACCUCAGUUCGGAUUGCACUCUGCAACUCGAGUGCAUG
rnacentral:rRNA from 1 species